UACGUAGGGGGCGAGCGUUGUCCGGAUUCAUUGGGCGUAAAGAGCUCGUAGGCGGUUUGGCAAGUCGGAUGUGAAAUCUCUGGGCUCAACUCAGAGAGGCCAUUCGAGACUGCUAUGACUAGAGUCCGGUAGGGGACCAUGGAAUUCCUGGUGUAGCGGUGGAAUGCGCAGAUAUCAGGAGGAACACCAAUAGCGAAGGCAGCUCGCUGGGACGGUACUGACGCUAAGGCGCGAAAGCGUGGGGAGCGAACAGG
rnacentral:rRNA from 1 species